rnacentral:rRNA from 1 species
AGCGACUGGCUCAGAUUGAACGCUGAAGGGACGUUUUACACAUGCAAGUCGAACGGCAGCACGCACUGGUCUGGUGGCGAGUGGCGAACGGGGUGAGGAAUAUCGGAACGUGCCUAGUAGCGGGGAUAACUACGCGAAAGGGGGAAGCAUACCGCAUACGCCCUUCGGGGGAAAGCGGGGGACUCGGGCCUCGCACUAUUAGGGGAGCGGGCCGAUAUCGGAUUAGCUAGUUGGUGGGGUAACGGCUCACUAAGGCGACGAUCCGUAGCUGGUUUGAGAGGACGACCAGCCACACUGACUGAGACACGGCCCAGAUCUACGAGGCAGCAGUGAAUUUUGGACAAUGGGGAAACCCUGAUCCAGCCAUCCCGGCGUGUGCGAUGAAGGCCUUCGGGUUGUAAAGCACUUUUGGCAGGAAAGAAAUUGCAACAGAUAAUACCCUGCGCAACUGAUUGCACCUGCAGAAUAAGCAAUACAACUACGUGCCACAGCAGCCGCGGUAAUACGUAGGGCAAGCGUUAACUGGAAUUACUGGGCGUACGUGCGCAGGCGGUUCGGAAAGAAAGAUGCGAAUCCCAGAGCUUAACUUCGAACUGCAUUUUUAACUACCGAGCUAGAGUGUGUCAGAGGGAGGUGGAAUUCCGCGUGUAAAGAAAGAAAUGCGUAGAUAUGCGGAGGAACAAUUGAUGGCGAAGGCAGCCUCCUGGGAUAACACUGACGCUCAUGCACGAAAGCGUGGGGGAGCAAACAGGAUUGAUACCUUGGUAGUCCACGCCCUAAACGAUGUCAACUAGCUGUUGGGGCCUUCGGGCCUCGGUAGCGCAGCUAACGCGAAGUUGACCGCCUGGGGAGUACGGUCGCAAGAUUAAACUCAAAGGAAUUGACGGGGACCCGCGGCCGUAUGGUGGAUGAUGUGAAUUAAUUGAUGCAACGCGAAAAACCUUACCUACCCUUGACAUGUCUGGAAUCCCCGAAGAGAUUUGGGAGUGCUCGCAAGAGAACCGGAACACAGGUGCUGCAUGGCCGUCGUCAAUGUGUCGAGAUGUUGCUGAAGUCCUGCAACGAGCGGGCAGCAACCCUUGUCAUUAGUUGCUACGAAAGGGCACUUCAUCGAGACUGCCGGUGACAAACCGGAGGAAGGUGGGGAUGACGUCAAGUCCUCAUGGCCCUUAUGGGUAGGGCUUCACACGUCAUACAAUGGUCGACAGAGGGUCGCUAACCCGCGAGGGGAGCCAAUCCCCAGAAACCUGAUCGUAGUCCGGAUCGCAGUCUGCAACUCGACUGCGCGAAGCUGGAAUCGCUAGUAAUCGCGGAUCAGUGUCGCGGUGAAUACGCUCCGGCCCGGCAUACACCGCCCGUCACAUCAGCGGAGUGGGUUUUACCAGAAGUAGUUAGCCUAACCGUAAGGAGGGCGAUUACCACGGUAGGAUUCAUGACUGGGGUGAAGUCGUAACAAGGUAG